rnacentral:rRNA from 1 species
AGCUACUAAGAGCGAAUGGUGGAUGCCUUGACUGGUAAAGGCGAUGAAGGACGUACUAGACUGCGAUAAGCUACGGGGAGCUGUCAAGAAGCUUUGAUCCGUAGAUUUCCGAAUGGGGCAACCCAAUGUAUAGAGAUAUACAUUACCUAUAUAGGAGCGAACGAGGGGAAUUGAAACAUCUUAGUACCCUCAGGAAAAGAAAUCAAUAGAGAUUGCGUCAGUAGCGGCGAGCGAAAGCGCAAGAGGGCAAACCCAGUGCUUGCACUGGGGGUUGUAGGACUGCAAUGUGCAAGAGCUGAGUUUAGCAGAACAUUCUGGAAAGUAUAGCCAUAGAGGGUGAUAGUCCCGUAUGCGAAAAACAAAGCUUAGCUAGCAGUAUCCUGAGUAGGGCGGGACACGAGGAAUCCUGUCUGAAUCCGGGUCGACCACGAUCCAACCCUAAAUACUAAUACCAGAUCGAUAGUGCACAAGUACCGUGAGGGAAAGGUGAAAAGAACUGAGGUGAUCAGAGUGAAAUAGAACCUGAAACCAUUUGCUUACAAUCAUUCAGAGCCCUAUGUAGCAAUACAGGGUGAUGGACUGCCUUUUGCAUAAUGAGCCUGCGAGUUGUGGUGUCUGGCAAGGUUAAGCAAACGCGAAGCCGUAGCGAAAGCGAGUCUGAAUAGGGCGCUUAGUCAGAUGCUGCAGACCCGAAACGAAGUGAUCUAUCCAUGAGCAAGUUGAAGCUAGUGUAAGAACUAGUGGAGGACUGAACCCAUAGGCGUUGAAAAGCCCCGGGAUGACUUGUGGAUAGGGGUGAAAGGCCAAUCAAACUUCGUGAUAGCUGGUUCUCUCCGAAAUAUAUUUAGGUAUAGCGUUGUGUCGUAAUAUAAGGGGGUAGAGCACUGAAUGGGCUAGGGCAUACACCAAUGUACCAAACCCUAUCAAACUCCGAAUACCUUAUAUGUAAUCACAGCAGUCAGGCGGCGAGUGAUAAAAUCCGUCGUCAAGAGGGAAACAACCCAGACUACCAGCUAAGGUCCCUAAAUCUUACUUAAGUGGAAAACGAUGUGAAGUUACUUAAACAACCAGGAGGUUGGCUUAGAAGCAGCCAUCCUUUAAAGAAAGCGUAAUAGCUCACUGGUCUAGUGAUUUUGCGCGGAAAAUAUAACGGGGCUAAAGUAAGUACUGAAGCUGUAGACUUAGUUUACUAAGUGGUAGGAGAGCGUUCUAUUUGCGUCGAAGGUAUACCGGUAAGGAGUGCUGGAGCGAAUAGAAGUGAGCAUGCAGGCAUGAGUAGCGAUAAUUAAUGUGAGAAUCAUUAACGCCGUAAACCCAAGGUUUCCUACGCGAUGCUCGUCAUCGUAGGGUUAGUCGGGUCCUAAGUCGAGUCCGAAAGGGGUAGACGAUGGCAAAUUGGUUAAUAUUCCAAUACCAACAUUAGUGUGCGAUGGAAGGACGCUUAGGGCUAAGGGGGCUAGCGGAUGGAAGUGCUAGUCUAAGGUCGUAGGAGGUUAUACAGGCAAAUCCGUAUAACAAUACUCCGAGAACUGAAAGGCUUUUUGAAGUCUUCGGAUGGAUAGAAGAACCCCUGAUGCCGUCGAGCCAAGAAAAGUUUCUAAGUUUAGCUAAUGUUGCCCGUACCGUAAACCGACACAGGUGGGUGGGAUGAGUAUUCUAAGGCGCGUGGAAGAACUCUCUUUAAGGAACUCUGCAAAAUAGCACCGUAUCUUCGGUAUAAGGUGUGGUUAGCUUUGUAUUAGGAUUUACUCCGAAAGCAAGGAAACUUACAACAAAGAGUCCCUCCCGACUGUUUACCAAAAACACAGCACUCUGCUAACUCGUAAGAGGAUGUAUAGGGUGUGACGCCUGCCCGGUGCUCGAAGGUUAAUUGAUGGGGUUAGCAUUAGCGAAGCUCUUGAUCGAAGCCCGAGUAAACGGCGGCCGUAACUAUAACGGUCCUAAGGUAGCGAAAUUCCUUGUCGGUUAAAUACCGACCUGCAUGAAUGGCGUAACGAGAUGGGAGCUGUCUCAAAGAGGGAUCCAGUGAAAUUGUAGUGGAGGUGAAAAUUCCUCCUACCCGCGGCAAGACGGAAAGACCCCGUGGACCUUUACUACAGCUUGACACUGCUACUUGGAUAAGAAUGUGCAGGAUAGGUGGGAGGCUUUGAGUAUAUGACGCCAGUUGUAUAUGAGCCAUUGUUGAGAUACCACUCUUUCUUAUUUGGGUAGCUAACCAGCUUGAGUUAUCCUC